UAGAAUUUUGUAUUUGAGUGUGUGUGAAUCCUAGUGCAUGAAAAGUCAAUUUUGUGAUCUAGAAAAAUAGUGAGUGACUACACAACGUCUACAAAAGAAAACGAGGAAUAGAGAGAUCUGAAUCCACCUGUUAACGUGGAGGAGGACUUGGUGAUAGCGGAGGAAGAGGAUGUUAAGGAGGGUUUGGAGGACUGCUCAAGAAGUUUGAUAGGGCGAAUUGUUGCGGAUAAAGGUUUGGGCAUUGGAACAUUGGAAGGAGCCUUUACUGUAAUUUGGAACCAUCCUGAAGGUUUUCGGAUCAAGCCACAUGAGGUGGAGGAGUGAUCUGAAGGCAACAAGCAUGGACUCGAGAGUAGAAGAAGCCAAGGAGAACAACAAUCCAAACUCUGAAAGAAGCAAGGGAAGAGCUUAUCAAUUUGGUAAGAGACCAACCGCAGUAAGUCUUUUACAUAAUUUUGCUAAACUAUCAAUCUCAGACAGGAAUAAGAUUCAGAGUUCGAUACAAAUGUGGAGAGUGUUGCUCUUCAAAAUACUACUGACCGAAGCCAACAAUGAGAUAAGACUACGCUGACUUCCACAGUAAACAAAAACAAUGUCAUGUCCACCCCUGAACGAGAUGCAAAAGGAAAGAUGGUAAAGUUUGAUGGUUUCCAAAUGGGUGCAACAGAAGAAAACUUUGGAAAUAAAAAGAAGAAACCAAAGAAUAAACACCUAGCAAGGAACCCUCAACUAGGUGAGAACAACAAUAGUGUCAUUGGAGUGAAAAGGAGGACUGAGGAGUGCGAGGGAGGAGGUUUUCUGGAUGAACAAAAGGGGGCUGAUCUGGUGAAUGCUGAUUGGGGACAGGGUGCCAUUCCAUCAAAGACACCCACAGAGCCAUGAGAAUGUUACUGUGGAACUGCUGGGAUUGGGAAAAUUUCUGGUAGUUCACAACAUAAAAGAGAUUCAGAAAUCUAAUUCUUCCGAGGUUAUGUUCUUGUGUGAAACCAAACAUCAAACCUCGUUUUUGGAGGAAAGAUUGAGAAGGUGAAGGUUUAAUGAGUAUGAUUGUAUUGAUCCUAUUGGGUUAUCCAAGGGUUUGGCGUUGGCAUGGAAGGAAAGAUGCAGGUGGAGGUCAAAAGUAAAGUAGAUUUCUACAUUUAUUUUACAAUAGAAGAGCAGGAGAAUCAAACAGUCUAAAAAGUGCUAGGUGUUCAUUUUCAUAACUCAGAUAGGAUCUGGUCCAGUCAAUAUGAGGAGAUUUUUCAGCUGAUUUCACAACUAGGAAAAAGAUACUUAGCUAUUGGGGAUUAUAACGCUAUCAUGGCAGCACAUGAGAAAGAGGAGGGGGGAGAGGGAGAGAGAAAAACCAGCUUAGUCAAUUGAGAAUUUCAUCAAUUUCUAUAGUGAAGAAAACUUGAUGACAUGGGUUACAUAUGGGAGAAAUUCACAUGGUGGAAUCGGAGUUGUAAAGAGAGAUUAGUUAGAAAAAGGUUAGACUGGGCUCUAAUAUCUCCCAAAACCCGACAUGAAUACCCUAUGACGACUGUUACACAUAUGGAAGACAAGGGCUCUGAUCAUCGACCUCUGCUCCUCUCUACUAAUUCAGCACAUACAAAAUGUAAGAGAAGGUUCCGAUUUCAAAAAAGGUGGUGUGGGGUAAAAUCAGUUGAUAGAAUAGUUAAGGACACUUAGGCAAUGACAUUUGAAGGUACUAUUAUCUUUCAAUUGUUCCAAAAAUUAAAAAAAUGCAGGUCGGAGCUAGUCUCUUGGCAAGCAACUGGUGCUGGAAAUGCUAGGAAGGCCAUGGAAAGAAUUGAAAACAGGUUGGAGAUGCUGAAAAGUUCAUCGAGGACAGCAGACAAAGAAGAAAUAUUAGUGCUGAAAGAGGAUUUAACUGAUGCUUAUCUUCAAGAGGAACGCUUCUGGAAGGAAAAAUCACGAGUGAGUUGGUUGAAAUGGGGUGAUCAAAAUACCCCCUUUCUUUCACUCAAAAAACCAGCAGCGGAAUAGGAAGAAUAAAAUAUGGCAACUUGAAGAUGAAGAAGGUAAUUAGUGUACUACAUCCGAGGCCAUUGGAGAGAGAGCUAAACGGUAUUUUAAGGAGCUCUUCACGAUGGUUCUAUCACGGGACCCAUCAGAUGAGUUCGGAGCGCUUAAAAGAAAGGUUUCAGCCACCACCAAUCAGAAUUGGGCAAAACUGAUGCUGAUUGGGCCAAUGACAUUGAGAAUCGUCACUCAACUAGUGGUUAUUGCGUUCUUCUUGUAAACAAUCCAGUUUUUUGGUGCAGCAGAAAAACAAAUUGCUGUAAGCUGAAUUUAGAUGCUUGGCACUAUGGCAGAUGCAGAAGCAGAAGUUUUAUGGAUUCAAAAAUUGCUGACUGAGCUAGGAAUCUCUCAACCAGUAGCUCCCACUAUUUUCUGUGACAAUUUGAGUUCUAUCAUGGUUUUUGCCAAACGUAAUUCUUCAUAACCAAAGCAAGCAUUUCAAAAUUGACCUGCAUUAUGUCCAAGAUCGAGUACACAAAGGACAGUUGCAUGUUGUUUAUAUACCAGCAGAUUCAUAAAUAGCUGACAUUUUAACCAAGUCCCUCUCCUAUAUUCUAUUUUACAAUUUCAGAUUCAAACUCAGAGUAGUUCCUCAAAUCACCCUAAGUUUGAGAGAGAGAAGGGGGGGGGGAGGUGUUAAGCAUCACAAUAAACUAGACAAAACGAAAUGUGGUUAGACAUAAUUCAAGAAAAUCAAGAAAGCCAAGUCUCAAGUUAUUAUACAAUUCAAUUAUAUUGUUAGGUGCUUUCUUGAGGAUUAAGGCCUCCAAAACUCAUGUAUAAAUAUGCUUGCUCACACACUGCAAGUUAGAAAAGAUAGAUAGAUAUUUCAAUUCUAAUUACUGCAUCUCUGAUUAUCUCAAUAUAUACAAAGUACUCUUCUCUA